GCCCGGAUGGCGGAAUUGGUAGACGCAAGGGACUUAAAAUCCCUCGGUCGAAUAGACUGUGCCGGUUCGAGUCCGGCUCCGGGCA
rnacentral:tRNA from 1 species